CAACAUCAAAGAUCGUUUCAGCUUCUUCCCUGUAACACGGCUCCGUGUUUCUGAUUUCACAGAUAAACCCUCAAUAUUCCCUGUUGAAACGGUGGAAGGAAAGACUGUGAACAUAACCUGCACCUUCAACACCACAUGUGAUGGAACAGCUUCCACCUUAACCUGGGUCACCCCCAUUGAUGAACCACUGUCAGUCUCACACAGUGUAACUCAGUGGGGUGACAAACUGACAUAUACUUCUGUUGUGUCCCUGACCCCAGCGCUCAAACAUCACAGGAAAAACCUCACCUGCAGAUUCAGAUACCGAACUGUUUCAUCGGAGCAGACCCUCACACUGACUGUGCAAUAUUCCCCACAGAAUCUCUCAAUCACUUCUUCCGACAAGGUGAACAAUUCCUGGGUCAGUAUAAAGUAAGGGAACUCUACAGUGAUCCUCUGCUCCGUCCAGAGUUUCCCAGCAUCAAACCUGACAUGGAGACAUCUUGGUGUCACAAUGAAC